UUCCUUUGUUCAGGUAUACCUUUUUUUUACACCUGCUUACGCCGAGUAAAUCUCCCUAGAGUUUAUGUAUGCAAAUUUGCAAGCACGCAAUGCACUCAACUAUGAAUACGCAGCUGCGGAAAAAAAUACGUGGUAUCCUGACGAGUGGACACGUAUCUCUAACUAUUAACGAUGUAUGUCAUCAAAUCAGCUACUUGAUGCCUCAGUCAUGAGUGACAAGUCCUAGAGAGCAAACGUUAUGCAAGCUAUCAAAUUUUGCGUGAAAUAUAUUGUGUUGAGUUUGCUUGUUGGUGGUGUGGUCCAGUGUAAUGAUAAGAUUGGUAUCUCAAGACAACUUCCUCAGAUUUUCACAUUCACACGAGGCAGUUGCUGGAAAUGUGCUUUCUGGAUGAAUUGAAGCCGGUGAUCGUUACUGUCGAUCUGAUUGAUGUUGUAUAUGAAAUUACAAGGGACAAAACUGCCAAUCUAUCGAUAAUUGUCAUAGAUGAUCAUUUUUCAUCGAAGGUCAUUAAAGAAUACUACCCGCGGCAUCCAUCCUUUGUUUUAUCUGGUGAUUCACUCGAAGCACUGAUGAAAAAUAUUCACGAGAUAAAAACAGCGAAAAUUUGGAACGUGAAGUCGCUGUUCGUCAUUGUUGGAACGCAAUGUCAGAAUUCAGCAGCUGUAUUGAAAUUAUUGUGGGAGAUAGAAGCUCUCUCAUCGUUUUAUAUUUGUCAAGAUGAGUUCAACAAUCAAACGCUGAUCUUUACUUUUAAUCCCUUUUCAAACUACGCUCCAAAGCCUUGGGAACGAGUAGUAGGCUUUAAUAGUUCAGAUAGUUGAUGGACACUUAUCCGUCAACAAUUUACAAAUGAUGCCAAAAUCUGUGAAAGUAUCAAGUUUAACAAAUCGGCACGGUUGGACGGCUUUCCACUAAAAGGUUUCAAAGACGGAAUAAGAAGCAAUGCUUCAUUCCGUAAAAACCAGGAGAUUCUUUCACCACUUACUAAUGAUUUCUUCAAAACUUCACUAUCAAUGAUUAAUAGCACACCAGAAGUGGAUACUAUUUAUGACGUUUCUUAUAGAAAUCCAUUCAAAAAUCGUACACAUGACUUUUUGUGGAAACCUUACAUUAUAAAAUUUACCGCCGUGAAAUAUGUAGACAUAAUGGCUUCCUACGAUCAAGACAGCUACGUGAUUUUAACGCGAAGACAAAAAACUGUACCAGUAAUUAGUCAAAUCAUCGACUGUUAUUUCAAUGUUUGGACAGUUAAUAUUUUGGUUUUCAUUUUAACAAUAAUUUUAAUUUUGAUUUAUAUAAACCACAAUUAUCAUUUACGUGAAGCUCUCAUGGAUAUGUUGUCGUUGAUGUUAGACAUGGAAAUGAUAGUCCCGAUGAGAAGAAUGUCCAUGCGACUGACUUUUUUUUCUGCUAGGUUGUUUAUGUUGAUUUUUAAUUCCACGCUGCAGGGUCAUUUGUCUGCUGUUUUGGCGAAACCAGCGCGUCAACAAGUCGAUACCUUAGAACAGCUGUAUGUAAAUCACUUUCAUGUACAUUUUGAUUUCAAAAUUGAAAAAGAAUUAUUAAUGACAGGAUUGUGGUCAUAUACCUCUGAUAAAAAAUACUUAUACAGGAAUUUCAUUAUGAAAUAUCCUGUGUGCUUAGAAGAACUUUUGAAAAAUGAUUCAGCUGUUUGUAUUAUGAAUAGUAAUCAUCUUCCUUAUGAAAAAUUACACGACGAAGUACACUUAUCUCAAUAUCUAUAUUUUAACGAAUAUAGUAUAUAUUAUAAAAAAUAAUAUAAAAAUAA